rnacentral:sRNA from 1 species
AUGUGCCUAGGUGGUGUUGGUGGAGGUGCCAUAGGAGGAGGAAGUGAUGGUGCCGGAGUAACUGGCGGUUGUAGCAACUCUUUAAACGGCAGUGGCAGUGGUACUAGCAUGAUGGUUACUUCAAGGAUUGUAGAAGCAUUUGUUAGAGAUAUAUAUUAGACAUAUAUUAGUCCAAUGUAAUAGACCCAAGCCCAGUCCUAUUUGUACUAGUAGUCUAGAGUUUAGUCGCCUAUAUAUACUCAUAUUAGGGUUCAUUGUAACACAAAUUAUCGUAUUACACUCUUAUACAAUAAAGAUGUAACCCUUAAGGGAUUCUUCCGUGGAUGUAGGCCAUAAGGCUGAACCACGUAACCCUCGUGUUCUUAAUGUUCCUAUUCUAUGCUUCCUCUUCUACAUCCACUUCAGCAUAUACAACAUGGUAUAACACAUCGCAUUGCUAAUAAUAAUAUUAUUUAACAUGGUAUCAGAGCCAAAUUUCGUUCUUGGCGUCAAACAAAUGUCUCUAGCAAGCAAAUAAGAUUAUCAUGUGCACACCACCAUCAGAAGUCACACAUGCUUCUCUGCUGGAUCUAGACUCCAUGGCAUCUCGCAACCACCGUGGCUCAAUGCUAUGUCCAAGAUCCACAAACUCAAGCAAAGUCGUGACUCAACUUCUCAGAUCUGUGCAAAUCCAAGCAUCGCUUGAUGAAACCAACACCACAGACGUGCCCUACAAUCUCCUGCAACAAAAACCUAGAAACUCGGCCCCCAAUGGCAGCCUCACGCGCCGCCACACUACGCUAACAGCUCUGGAAACUCCCCACGCACCGCCAAAAAUCUCGAGACCCAGAUUAGUUUAAAGCCACACAAGCCACCAUGUCAGCCUCAUUGCUCGACGAUCUACAAAACCUAAGAAGUCCAGCCGUUUAUUGCGUUAACACGCGCCGCCUGCGUUUCUGGAUCUGCCAACGCGCCACCAAGAUCCUUAUGUGUAGCUCAUCCAUCGGCCACAUGCGCCGUCCUAUCGGCCAUGUCAACCACUGAUCUGCCUACGAAAGAAAUAUGGCUUUCAACCGCUAUGGCACGCGCCUACACGCGCCGCCUGGGUUUCCAGCUUCUCCUUCACGCGCCAAUUGAACACCCACGUGCAAGCCACACGCCGAAAUUUGUGAUGCUAUCAUCCAUCUGUCAUCCAUGAUGUCAUCUGAUGACGUCAGCAAAAAGUCACGUCAGCUUGAUCCACGUCAACUCUAGCUACAUCAUCAGCCAUGUAGCUUGCCAGUGUCACCUCAUCAGCACCACAUCACCUAGCUGACUUUGACUAGGACCAACCCGACCCGGACCAUCCGGAUCUGACCCGUGAGCUCUGACUGUUGAGUUUGACCAGAUCCGUUGACUUUGACUUUUGCGUUGACUUUUGAUCAAAAGUUAAAAUUUCUGAAAGGACCUAUCUUGCUCAGUUUUUCGCGUAGAUUCCAAUUUUGGAUUCCGUUUCUUCAUUUGAGGCUUCAAAAUUGGUCAAUUGGCAUAUUCUUCAUUGUGGUUUCUUCAAAGGCAUUUUUCAAGGCAUCUCCAAGUGAUCUUCUCAUGUUUAUCCAACCUCAAGUCUUCAUCAAGCUUCCACCUUGAGUUUAAGGGAGGUGUUAGAGAUAUAUAUUAGACAUAUAUUAGCCCAAUGUAAUAGGCCCAAGCCCAGUCCUACUUGUACUAGUAGUCUAGGGUUUAGUCGCCUAUAUAUACUUAUGUUAGGGUUCAUUGUAACACAGGUUACUGUACUACACUCUUAUACAAUAAAGAUGUAACCCUUAAGGGAUUCCUCCGUUGAUGUAGGCCUUCAGCAAAAAGUCACGUCAGCUUGAUCCACGUCAACUCUAGCUACAUCAUCAGCCAUGUAGCUUGCCAGUGUCACCUCAUCAGCACCACAUCACCUAGCUGACUUUGACUAGGACCAACCCGACCCGGACCAUCCGGAUCUGACCCGUGAGCUCUGACUGUUGAGUUUGACCAGAUCCGUUGACUUUGACUUUUGCGUUGACUUUUGAUCAAAAGUUAAAAUUUCUGAAAGGACCUAUCUUGCUCAGUUUUUCGCGUAGAUUCCAAUUUUGGAUUCCGUUUCUUCAUUUGAGGCUUCAAAAUUGGUCAAUUGGCAUAUUCUUCAUUGUGGUUUCUUCAAAGGCAUUUUUCAAGGCAUCUCCAAGUGAUCUUCUCAUGUUUAUCCAACCUCAAGUCUUCAUCAAGCUUCCACCUUGAGUUUAAGGGAGGUGUUAGAGAUAUAUAUUAGACAUAUAUUAGCCCAAUGUAAUAGGCCCAAGCCCAGUCCUACUUGUACUAGUAGUCUAGGGUUUAGUCGCCUAUAUAUACUUAUGUUAGGGUUCAUUGUAACACAGGUUACUGUACUACACUCUUAUACAAUAAAGAUGUAACCCUUAAGGGAUUCCUCCGUUGAUGUAGGCCGUAAGGUUGAAUCAUGUAACUCUCGUGUUCUUGAUGUUCCUAUUUUAUGCUUCGUCUUCCGCAUCCACUCUAGCAUAUACAACAUGGUAUAACACAUUGCGUUGCUAAUAAUAAUAUUAUUUAACAGCAUUAAGGGACUAUUUUGAAAGUAAGUGAAAUAUAUAUAUAUAUAUGUGUGUGUGUGUGUGUGUGUGUGUGUGUGUGUGUAUUGGAUUCUUUUCGUUUUAUGUUUUAAUAUAUGUCUCUCAUGGUAUUGAACCUUUUUUUGUGAUAAGAAGAGAUGGUGAAAGAACUGUACCAACUCGAAGUAUUCAAGGGUCUCUUGAGACUGCAUGCUAGAUAAUUAUUAAGGAAACCAUUUAAGGUUAUUAUUAAGAGCUACAUUCAGAAGGUCUCAUAAUGCAAGGACUAAUUUUUUUUCUUCAUGGAUUAUAAUGUUGAUGCAAAUAAUUAAUUACUUAAUUUUUUUUUUUUUUUUUGUGAUACAACAAAGUUUUUUAAAUCCUAAAAAAAUGUCGUUUGAGCAACAAAGCUAGCUAUUAUUGGUUGAUACAAUAAAUUGAAGUUAUAAUUCAGACAUGCUUUUUUUUCAAUUUUUACAUUUUUUUUUUCCAUUCUUGAAAGUUACUUUACUUCUUUUGUUUUAGUUAAAAAUUAUAUUUUAUCUAGGGUUAAUUACACUCAUCUCUUUUGAUGUUUGGAUAAAUAACACUUCACCCCAAAUUUGAAAGAAAAAAACACUUCCCCCCUUGACAUUUGAUUGACUAAAUUAAAAAUGUUGUGUAUUAACCUGUCAUUUUGCUUAAGGGAAUGUUUCAAAAAUUAUUCUCCAUUUCAAAAUUAAAAUUCAUUAUUUUAAAUUUUUAACUAAAAUGUAUUUUAAAAUAUUAAGCAUGAUUUUUUUUUUCUUCUUUUAGUUAUGCAAAGAUUUGUUGCAAAUGUUUUGGUGUUUGAUAAAUUUUGCAUUUUUACUCUAAAUUAUUAGUUAUAUUUUUUUACUAACCAUAGUUAAACUUUUGUGAAGAAAUUCAUAUAGAAAUUUAGAACAUUUCAUUGCUAAUAUAAACAGAAGAUGAGGAAUGUUAAUUUCUUGAAAUUUCAAGGGAUAAUUCUCAUAUAUAUAUAUAUAUAUAUACAGGGGCGUAGCCAGGAAUUCGUACUUGGGGGGGCCAAAUUGCAAUAUUGAUAGAAAAAUCAUAAUUCAUAAAUUUAUAAAUAAAAAAUGAUCAACUUUGAUAUAUUGUCAUAUUCUUAAAUAUUAAUGGAAGUACAAAAUGCAGUCUAUUUUACCAUACACAUAUACAAAAAUUUGCAUACUUUUAUUUUAAGCACCAUCAACCCAUCAUUAUCCAUAACACUGAAAACUUUCUUAUUUUCUAAUGAAUUAUUCAGCUCCUAAUUUCAAAUUAAAAAAAAAAAAAAUGAUGAUAUGAAAAGAGAUAUAAUAUAUUAUCAUAUAGCAAUACAACAAAUUGAACAACUUAAUAAACAAAGCAUAUUCAUAAAACUAAAUGAACAUUAUCAUAUAUAUAAAAAGCAUAAAUCUAAAUGCCUAUAUAAUGUUGAAGAAACAAACAAACCUGAAAUACUGAGACACAAGAAGCUGGAACUAAAAGCAAAUAUGGAUAGUUUUUUUUAGAUGAAAGGAGUUUAUUUGAUUUCUACCCUUAUUGAGAAGAGAGUUAAUGUGUUUAGAGCAAUCACCAAUGAGAGCAAAGAAACAUGAGGCAGUGUAGGCUUGUAUCAAGAGGAGAAAAAGUAGUAGUGAUUACAUCUAUUUUCUUUGAGAAUCUCGUAGGUGGCUUCUUGAGAUUGAGAUUGAUGGGAAAAAAAAAAAAAAGAGUAAAUUUUUGUUUGAAAAUGAGUGGUACGGGAUGAUAUUUUGAGGGUGUGGAUUAUUGUCUAUUGGAUAUUUGGAUUGAUAGCAAAUCAUUUGGACAAUUGGGAGAGCCAACUAGUAUUUUAUUUGAGGACUUUGGGUUAUCUAUUGGACUAAGUAGAGAUCCUAGAAAGAAUUGGAGGGGCCGGUCAUUAUUUUCUAGAGGGCCAUAGCCUUUUACUUAUUUUUUGCUAUCAGACUCAUAGCUUAACAGUAGAAGAAAUCAAAAUUUUGGGGGGGUCAAGGGACAACGUAGCUCCGCCCCUAUAUAUAUAUUUGUUAAAGGCUGAUGCCUUUCCUAUAAAAUAUUAAAUCUUAAAUACUAUAUAUUCCAAUCAAAUGUGAUGCUUUUUUUUUUUUUUUUUAAAUCAUAUGGUUCAAUUUUUUUUUUUUUUUGAAUUAUAAGUUUUUCUUUGUUACAUUUUAUAUCGCGUGAGGUUUUAGUUUGUUAAAUUUCUUUGUUAUAUCGAAUGCAAAACAAGGAUUUUAUAAGGUUUGGUCUAACGGCUUAUGUUUAUUGGUGAACACCCUUGAUGGCUACAUGUUGUUUAUGAAGUACAAUUCAGUUUACAAUAAACUUAAUAUAGAUUUUAUAUAUUAGAGAACCCUAUACUAAUCUUAUGCUAACACUAGUCCAAGGUUAAUUAAUUGUUUGUUUUACAAGAACGUGAAAAAGAAGCUGAAUUAGCUCGUUUGGUUAAGCAAGGGGAGCUGGAAUUAGAAGAGGCUAUUGAGAUAUUUCAUGAUUGUAAUUUGCAUAGUGUUAAUGAUUUGUAUCUAUUACCUGUAAGUUUUGUAUAUAGAAGUAAACUACAAUUGCAUAGCUGUAGGAUAGAAUAAAUGGUCAUGAAACGACUGCCGUUUAUAGUCUACAGAUAGGUCAGUUAGUUACAAAGCUUAUUACACGUGUACAGCAGUCAUUAGAUGGUUAGUUAGUUAUUUUUCUAUUUCUCCUUUUCUAGCCUCUGUUCUCACUAUAUAAAGAACAGAGUAUGCUAAGCUUAAUAUACGGAAUUCAUUUCAUACAAGUUCAGUGUUAUUCAAUUCCUUUCUCUCUCAAUCUGUUUACACUCCUCCAUUGAUGAACCUUCGGAGCUUGUGUAAAAUCAACAUGGUAUCAGAGCUCGAACUAGUUCAGAGACCAUCUCAUUCUGGUAUUCUCUGAACUAGUUCAGGUAUUUGCUUUUCUCCUUCCCUUGAACAUUCAGUUUUUUCUUCUGGUGUCAAUACUUCUCACAUCAGUCCAUCUGACUGGAUUCUUGACAGUGGUGCAACAGACCACAUGGUACAUUCAAUUCAUUUCUUUACUUCUAUCACUUCUUCUGUUCAGAUUUCAGUUAAACUUCCUAAUGGUGACGUGGUUAAAGUCACUCACAUUAGAACUGUCAAAGUCUCUGCCACUUUAACUUUAGAACAUGUUCUUUGUAUUCCAAAUUUUACUUUCAAUCUUAUCUCUAUCAGCAAGCUAACCCAAAAUCCUUCUUGCUGCUGUCUUUUUCUUUCUCAUUAUUGUUUUCUUCAGGACUUACUGCAUUGGAAGAUGAUUGGGCUGGGUAAGAGACAUAGAGGUCUAUACAUUUUGCAGUGCACUGAUUCCUUCACAUUACCUGUUUCUGUUUCAGAGGUUCUAUCCAGUUUGUCUUCUUUCCUUUGUAAUAAAAGAGUCAAUCAAUGUAAUCUUGAUUCUUCUCAUGUUGUUGAUACUUCAAAUAAUGUUGUUAGAUUGUGGCAUUAUAGAUUGGGUCACCCAUCUUCACAAAGAUUAGCCUUGUUGAAACACUUUGUACCUGAUCUGAUUUCUUACAAUAAUAGCAAUUCUUUUGACUGUUUUGUUUGCCCACUAGCUAAACAACACAAAUUACCUUUUCCUAAAUCCACAAGUGUUUCUUCCUCUUGUUUUGACUUGGUUCAUGCUGAUAUAUGGGGCCCUUAUUCCACUCCAUCAUUAAAUGGCUCAAGAUACUUUCUUACUUUGGUUGAUGAUCAUAGUAGGUGUACUUGGGUUUAUUUAAUGAAACUUAAAUCUGAUGCUUCUUCACUGAUUCAAACAUUUUUCCAAAUGAUUCUUAAUCAAUUUAAGGUGUCCAUUAAAGUGCUUAGGACUGACAAUGGUCCUGAGUUUGCUGUUUCUUCCUUUUAUGCAUCUAAUGGCAUUCUACAUCAGCUUUCUUGUGUUGAAACCCCACAACAAAAUGCUGUUGUUGAACGAAAACAUCAACAUUUGUUGAAUGUUGCUAGGGCCUUAAGAUUUCAUGCAAACUUACCCUUGAAAUUCUGGGGGGAUUGUGUUCUUACAGCCACAUACCUUAUCAAUAGGCUUCCUAGCCCUCUUCUAGGUAAUCUUACUCCUUAUCAGAAACUUUUAGGGCAUUCUCCAUCAUAUCAACACCUUAGAUCCUUUGGUUGUCUUUGUUAUGCCUCUACCUUAACUAGGAAUAGGUCCAAGUUUGAUCCUAGGGCAAAGGCAUGCAUACUCCUUGGAUAUCCUUUUGGUACCAAGGGUUAUAAAUUGUAUGAUCUGUCCACCAAAGUUGUUUUCAUCUCUAGAGAUGUUAUCUUCAAAGAAUCAAUUUUUCCUUUUAAACAUUGGUUGCCUAAAUCUAUCCCUCUCCACUCUUCCACUUCUCACAAUAUAUUUCCAUCUCAAGCUUCAAUUCCAGAAACCACUUCUUCUAUUUCUGCUGAAUUUUCACUUCCUUUCAACCAUAUUGACACUGCUGUACCUCCUGAUGAAUUCCCAGACCUUGUCCACCCUGAUUUAGCCUCUUCUUCACCUACUCCUUCUGCUCCACUUGACAUUCCUGUUUUACCUAUUCCCUCAAUUGAUCUACCUGUUGUUAGGAGGUCCAAUAGGUCUCAUAAACCUCCCUCAUAUCUCCAUGAUUAUCACUGUCACUUGGCUUCCACCACCACUCUUAAUCAUCACUGCAAUUUGGUCUCAGCUCCACUCAUACCUUCUCAUGAUUCCACUGCCAGUCCAGGUAUUCUCUAUCCCCUUUCCUCUACUCUUUCUUAUUCUAAGUUGUCUAUUGCCCACAAAGCUUUCUCUGUUGCAUUAUCCAUUACAGAAGAACCUACUUCUUAUGCUGAAGCCUUCCUUGAUCCAUUAUGGCAAGCUGCCAUGAAGGCUGAGAUUGAUGCUCUUCAGGCUAAUAGUACUUGGGUCCUGACCAAGCUGCCUCCUGGCAAAGUCCCAAUUGGGUGCAAGUGGGUCUAUAAAAUCAAACUUAAAGCUGAUGGGUCUGUAGAGAGGUACAAGGCUAGACUGGUUGCUAAAGGUUUUACUCAAACCGAGGGGAUUGAUUACUAUGAGACUUUCUCUCCUGUGGUGAAGUUUGUGACAGUUAGAACACUCUUAGCUAUGGCUGCUGUGUUUGGUUGGCACUUGUCUCAACUAGAUGUCAAUAAUGCUUUUUUGCAUGGAGAGUUACAUGAGGAAGUGUACAUGGUUCCUCCUCCUGUUUUUGGCAGCAAGGGAGAGGUGUGCAAACUCACUAAAUCACUCUAUGGUUUGAAGCAGGCAAGUAGACAGUGGUUUGCCAAGCUUUCAUCCACUCUUCUUGAUCAUGGUUUUCUCCAAUCUAAGUCAGACUAUUCUGUCUUCACUAAGGUCAGCAAGUGUUCAAUUCUCAUCUUGUUAGUUUAUGUGGAUGACAUCCUAAUAGCAAGUAAUGAUGUGGAGGCAGUUAACUCUUUCAAGGUUUUUCUAGAUACCAAGUUUAAACUCAAAGAUCUUGGUACCUUGAAAUAUUUUUUGGGUCUUGAAGUUGCAAGGACUGAAAAAGGAAUCAAUUUAUGCCAGAGAAAGUUCAUUUUAGAGUUACUUUCUGAUGCUGGUAUGCUAGCAAGCAAACCUGCUAAUGUGCCCAUGGAUCAAUCAGCUAAGUAUAGGAGCUCAAUGGGGGAAGAUGUUCCUGAUCCAUCCUUAUAUAGAAGACUUAUUGGCAAGCUGCUAUAUCUGACUCUAACUAGGCCUGAUAUUUGCUACUCAGUGCAUAAGUUGAGUCAGUUUAUGAAUUCCCCUAAAACUCCUCACCUCCAAGCAGCUUAUAAGGUACUUAAGUAUCUUAAGAAGACACCAGGGCAAGGCUUGUUCUUAUCAGCAAGUUCUGAAAUGAAAUUAAAGGCCUACUGUGAUGCUGACUGGGCAGCUUGUCCAGAUACAAGAAGGUCAGUUUCAGGCUUCUGUGUUUUCCUUGGUGACUCUCUUAUAUCCUGGAAGUGCAAGAAGCAACAAGUGGUGUCCAGAUCAUCUGCUGAAUCAGAUUAUCGAGCAAUGGCCACUGUCACAAGUGAAGUUGUUUGGUUAUUGGCAUUGCUUAAGACUUUUGGUUUUAAUCACACUCAGCCUGCUUCAUUGUACUGUGAUAGCAAGGCAGCUCUUUAUAUUGCUGCAAAUCCAGUGUUUCAUGAACGCACAAAACAUAUAGAGGUGGACUGUCAUUUUAUUCGAAGCAAGCUUCAAGAUGGAGUGAUCAAAACCUUUCAUGUUCCUACCAGACACCAGAUUGCUGAUUGCUUCACAAAGGCACUCGGAUACAAACAAUUUUACUUCCUCUUAUCCAAGAUGAAUCUCAUCAACAUCUAUGGUUCAUCUUGAGGGGGAGUAUUGAGAUAUUUCAUGAUUGUAAUUUGCAUAGUGUUAAUGAUUUGUAUCUGUUACCUGUAAGUUUUGUAUAUAGAAGUAAACUACAAUUGCAUAGCUGUAGGAUAGAAUAAAUGGUCAUGAAACGACUGCCGUUUAUAGUCUACAGAUAGGUCAGUUAGUUACAAAGCUUAUUACACGUGUACAGCAGUCAUUAGAUGGUUAGUUAGUUAUUUUUCUGUUUCUCCUUUUCUUGCCUCUGUUCUCACUAUAUAAAGAACAGAGUAUGCUAAGCUUAAUAUACGGAAUUCAUUUCAUACAAGUUCAGUGUUAUUCAAUUCCUUUCUCUCUCAAUCUGUUUACACUCCUCCAUUGAUGAACCUUCGGAGCUUGUGUAAAAUCAACAGAGGCUAAACAGCAGAUGAACUUGAUACUGUCUGAGAUUGAUGGACUUCAUAUAAAGAUCGAACAGUCCGCCCAAGGCCUUUUGAAGUCCGAAGAAGAAAUUAAGCAACAUCUAAAAAAGGCUAUCAGGGGUAUGGAGCAGCUUGAGAGCUACAGGAAACGCCUUGUGGAAGCCUUUGAAAAAUUUGAAUUUGAAAAUUUGCUAUUACUAUGGCUUUUAUGUAAUUUUCAACUUCGUUUAUGUUUUUGACUUGUGUGUUAACACACUGAGUAUUGAAUAAUUUCUUGCAUCACAUGCCAAAUUCGUUCAAAUAGAGUUCCCCAUAACAAAAAUUUAUUGGAAAAACUUGAACCAAAGAUGAUCCACAAUUCCACAUAUCAAAAUAGUAGCUAGAUUAAUAACACUCUCAGAACCACUAGCAUAUAUUCAAAGAUAUUACCGGAGUAGCUAAAUGUGACAUAACUGAUCAAAAAACUUUCCAUGAAAACAAAAGAAAGAGGUCUAUGGAGAGUGACUACACCUCUUCUAUAAUUCUCUCUCCACAUAUUCGGGUCACAUCAAUAAAAUUCAUACUUCUAAUUGUAAGGUAUACUAAAAACAGGGUUCAAUAUUAACAAUAUGUCAUGAUCACUAUCCUCUGUUGGGUCUAACAAAUACUCAGCAAAAUAAACUCCAACUAAUCAUGAUUUAUUAAUUACACAAAAAAUGACUAUGUUAGCCCAAAAUUAUGCAUUUCCAGAUUGUUAUACAUCUCAAUGGCACAAUAAAAUCAAAUAGGUCCUGUCCUGACCAUAACUUUUGUUUGGUGCGUCCCUAUAAUUUAAAAGGAAAAAAAAAGAAGAAGAUGGGUUCACUCCAAUAAGAUCAAUUUGAAUUUUAUUUUAAUCUUUUGGCCCGAGUAAUUACAGAUUGUGAAAAUUUCAAGUAAUCUAUGUCUGUCCUCUCCACUAACCCCAUGCAGGCAUUCAUGCAUUGCCAAUUUUAUGUUUAUUGUCUCAGUGUGUGAUGAGAAUGACUUAGUAGUGCUUUAUGGAUUGUGUGAUUGAAUAAAUUAAACCAUUAAUCCUAUUUGCUUUUUUAAAUAGGGUCGCCUGACAAGUAACUAAAGGAAACCAAAGGAUGGGAGAAAUCCACAGUGGCAAGAAAACAAAGGAAUCCAACAAAGCAAUCCACCAUCAUCCAAAAUGUGAAGCAAAGUGUGGAUUGACUGUCAGAAAAAUUAAGAAGUAUAAAGAAAAAAAAUUAAUGACAUUGGAGACCAAAAACAUAUCAAAGACCAAAUAAUAAAAUUUAUGACCAAAGAAAUUAACAAGCCAUCGGAUACUUGCUUUAGAGGUUAUGCAGGCAAUGUCUGAUCCUAUUAGGAUUGGCAAACCAUCACCAUUGACAAACGAGCUAGAGGCACUGGUGAGUGGUGUCACUAAACAAGAUUGCAUUGGCUCAAUCUGACGAAGAGUCAGAAACACUCUGAUUUCUUGUUGAUUUGUUUGAUCAGUGUACCAAGGAAAACCCAGCAGAUGGUCAUACUGCUUUCGGUACAAGCAAUGUUAAAAGUUCAAGAAUUUAGGAAUGUCAACAGUUUUAGUAGUAUGGAUUUUGUAUUAUUCCUGUUGUGAUCAAAUAUAUAGGUCUGCCCAAAAAUCCUGUGUAAUCUAAUUUUUGCCUAAUCUAAUUGAAAAAUCUUGAUUGAUUUUUUUUUUUUUUUUUUUUUUUUUUUAUAAUCCCAAAUUGCCAUUUAUUUUAUUGGAAAAUUCAAUAUCCGUUUUCCCUAUGCAUUAUCUGAUUGUAAUUUAAUGAGGCUAAUUUUAGAAAUCAGUAAAUUUUUAUUUCGAAGACAGUGCAAUACAUGAUUUCCCCCCAAAAAGUUGGAUUUGCAAAGGCUGACAAACAAUUUGGGACAGAGGGAGUAUUUUGAUCAUAUUAGCUAACUGUUUGAGCUGCAUACGUCAACGUACCUAUCUCAGUUAACUGUACAACAAAUCUGCUCUUCAAAUAACUUCGACUGCCGACCCUCACUAUUAUGCUCCACCACCAUUUUCACUGUGAUUGAAUGCCAUUGGACUCCAUUUUGGGAAGCUUUAUUGGUAGAAUUAAUUGGUGUAAAGCAGGAGCUGCAUAAAUGACAACAUCAUCACCUCAAAGUACUUGUAGAGUUCAGAAGAUGCUAUCUAGGAGAGUGAGGCUGAUUGCUAUAUUCAAUUGGUGGAAAGUGGAAACCAAUUUUAAAUGGAAUUAGGUGCAGUUUGUUGCUUCUGGAUGUAUUUUGUGGGUACUUUCCAUUACUUGUGAAGUAUUUGGUAGACAUACAGUAUACUUACACAACCAUGUGGAAAGGAGAUAUUGUUAACCCUGCUCAGGUUGGUUGGUCGGUCAUUUAUGAAUUACUUGGGCCUUUUGUUAUAAGAAAACCAUUGGAUAUAGAGUUUUAUGACUGUGGUGGAAAGGAUGGGUGGGACAGAGUGGACAGAUGGAAGAGUUGUAUUUCAAGGGUGUGGCAGUUUUUGUCUACAAAUCUUUUGUGUUUGUAUGAUUCCAGUUAGAAUAUCACAGGAAUUGAGAAUAUACAGGACUUUUUAUUGGCUGGUUGCUGGUAGCGUAGGCAGGAGUAUUUGGUUAGUUGGGAUGUAUUUGAUCAACCCAAGAGACAAGAUGGUCUUGGCCUGAGAAUAUUGCUAGAGAGGAUAUGGUUGUGGAUAUCUUUCAUUAAUCAUAUCCCAUUCUUUGGCACUUGGCUAUAUUGGCAUUCAGGUUAUUGGCUGGGACUCUUUGGGGGCAAUUCUCACAUUUGUGGAUAUUGAUUCACAAUGUUUGGAACACUGGAACGUAUGUGGUCGGGUUUCUUGAUUUGCUUUCACACUCCAUGAUGAUAAUAUCAAUAUUUAAUGUUUUUAUUUUUUGGUAUGAGAUAGAUCAGUGCGCUCGUGCAAUUCUGGACAUAUUUAACAGGCUAAUAAUUUAAUGAUGGUGAUUUUACUUGUGAUAGAUUAUGUUAAUAUGCAUAUGUGCAAUAUUCAUUCAAAUAUUAGUUUUCUGUUUGCAUUUUAGUUUAAGAAGUUCGUAUUGCUUGAAAUUAGAAGAUUGUUUUUCACUUUAUCUUGAUAAUUACCUUGAUGCAUGUUGUCCAAUAAAGUGCUAUUUAGGUGACCAAUGAGAGUGGUCAUUUAGUGGAAUGUUGCGCUUGUGUUCUUGCACUUUUUUACAGUGGCUUGCUUUUAAAAAUUUAUUUAUUUAUUAUUAUCUCAUGAAGAUUACAAAAGACAUCUUUGCUACCAAUUUGUUUUCUGUGUGUAUUCUGCACUGACAACUUAAAAUUGAUUAUAAGCAGAUGUAUCCAACAACCCAGAGUUGCUGAAAAAGAUGGUUGAGGUACUGCAAGAGGGUGAAGAUUUUGACUGUCCAAUUUGCAUGUCACCACCAACCAAUAUUGUAAUUACACGUUGUGCUCACAUUUUUUGCCAAGCUUGUAUUUUAAAAACUCUACAGCGCAAAACCUGCUGCCCCCUUUGUCGCCGUCCUGUGCAACAGUCUGACCUGUUCACAGCCCCUCCAGAAAAUUCUGAUGCUGAUGAUGCUGGAGUAUCCUCUUCAAAAACAACAGCAUCUUCGAAAGUUUCCACUCUUCUAAAACUUCUUCUGGAAUCAAGAAAUCAAAACCCAGCUAUAAAAUCAGUAGUAUUUUCACAGUUCCGAAAGAUGUUGAUAUUACUUGAAAAGCCACUGAAAGAUGCUGGUUUCAAAAUUUUGCGCUUAGAUGGGUCUAUGAAUGCAAAGAGAAGGGCUAAUGUAAUUGAAGAAUUUGCAAUUCCUGGACCAGAUUCACCCACGGUUUUGCUUGCAAGUCUUAAGGCCUCAGGAACAGGUAUAAACCUCACAGCUGCUUCUAGAGUCUACUUGUUGGAGCCAUGGUGGAACCCAGCUGUUGAGGAUCAGGCAAUGGAUUGGGUUCACCGGAUUGGACAGAAGGAGGAUGUGAAGAUUGUGAGGUUGAUAGCCCGAAACAGCAUUGAAGAGAGGAUAUUAGAGUUACAGGCGAGAAAGCAGAAACUUGCAAGAGAAGCUUUUGGAGGUAGGGGUCCAAAGGAUAGAAGGGAGAUUGGUGAUGAAGAUCUUCGUGUCCUCAUGUCUCUAUAA